ACACGCUGGCUGGGUUUUCCCUACAGAAGGCCUUUGCCAACGUCAGUCGUGCGUUGUGUCAACGUGGUCGUUGGAAGUGUCGACAGGUUGUGCAAUUAGUGCUACUUUCUGCAAGUCUCAUCAGAUUUCUUUUUUCGUCGAGGAGGGCUUUCACGAUAAUUAUAAAAACGAUGACCUGUUUUGCAAAAAUGGAAUCUUCAUCACCCAAACCCGUGAAAGACAAACGUAAACGAUAUCAACUAAGUGUAGACCACUCACUGAGAGCUAGCUUGAGGCAAGCUACAGCUCAAAAGCGUUUAACAGUGGGACUAGACAGAUGUAUCAACAUUCUUACUAGAAACCCAGAGGCAGUUAUGGUUUGUCUCCUGCUGCAAGGCUCACCUGGAAUAACCAAAGACUUAACUAUUCGAACAUUCAGCACAUUCUUUUGAAGGCAUUUUGUGCUGAAAACCGCAUCAACACUGUUCAAGUUGCAGUUGACUUGUCAUUUCUACGCUUCGUUUGCCAGCUGGCUGGAAGAUCAGCAGAGGUUGCUGCUGGUGACAAGACAGAUGGUGCUGACUACAACCUAAUUCUCAUUGAGCACCAUUCUGGAGGGCCUAGCAGAGAAGACCUUAUCUGGACAGCAGCAUGCCAGGAUGGUCAUCUGGACAUUAGAACAAAAGUGCCCUGGGACUGAAUCUGCUGAUUAGAACAUGCAGUGGGAAAAAAACCUCAAAAGUAUUCUGUGUCCACACACAGGAAAAAAUGAAGAAGCAGAUGUUUCCAUCACAAAUGCAGCCAAGUGCCAAGGUUCAAGAGCCAGAGUUACUGUUGGAGAGAUCAUAGUGUAAUGAUUAGAUGUCCAGAGUGGACUGGCCCAAUGAAUCACUGUCUUUUGCUUUACAAUAAAGAAAGGGGAAAAAUACUUCUUUUACGUGACCUUGAAAGUGUGAAGCAAAGGUACCGAUGGGCCUAUUCAACUCUGGAGCUCUGUGAAGCAGGUGUGCAAAAACCAAGGCUUCAGUGCAAGGGAUACUUGGUUUUCUUGUGCACGAAAGCAAACAAAAUAACAGUAAUUCUGAACCAGACAUAAUAUGGAUAAGAAAUGCAUUUUCUGGGACUGUUGAGUGCACAGAAUUGCAUAUUUUAGGAAGGAAGAUUGAGGAGGUGAAUAGGAAACACAAAGUAAUGUGAUGUUUACACAGAAACAGAAACGACACCAUACCUGCAUUGCACAGAAAGGGAAGCAACUCCAUGUGCAGGAGAUGACCAAGCCACUGGUGUUGCUAUAAUUUGUUGAACUAUAAGACACCAUGAAUAGCAACUUGAUUAUGUUUACUCUUGUAAUUUUGGAAAAGAUUUACUCUUGCUCGUUUUCUUGAAAGCAAAUGAGAAAUACACAUUUUAAUUUUUAUAACCAGAAACUUGCAGUGUGUGAAACUGGAGAUUUAAAAAAUAAUCUUUAAAAGACAAUAUGACAGUUCAUUUUCCAGACAGCAUACCAUUAUUUUUUUGUGAUUAUGUGGAAACUAUGACUGUAAGUUGCUUGUCCUUACACUUUUCCUUUCAUUUGGGAUGAUCAGUGAGGAGAGAGACUUUACACCCACCACACUUGUGACAUUUCACAGUGGAGUAGUGAGAAAUAUAUAUACACAAAAAAGUGCAAAAAGACAUUUAAUGUUGUGUAAAAACAUUUUUUGAGAGGUUUCAAUUUCUUUUGAAAGUUUGUUUUCUUUCUGAAUUUUUGACAGCUAUGUAGAUACAUGUAAUUCUGUACAUAAAAUUUGUGCAUGUAUCAAAACCUUUCUUUAUGUAUUUGUGCACUGUGUUUUUAGAAGUUGCUGUGAAAUGGUUAAUUUAGCAUAUUUUCCCUUACUCGUAACCUCUUCUAUUAUUGAUAUCCAAGGUUGUGUAUAUAUUUUCUGUUUUAAUUCUCUGGACUAGCAAAUUUUGUAAUUAUGCACACAGGCACACCCACCCCUAAAUUACUGCAAUGUAAUACAGUAUCAUAUUAUCAAUGAUAAAAUAAAGUUUCAUAAUUUA